UGCCCACUGAUAUAAUAAUUAAAGGGCUGCAGUAUUUUGACUGUACAAAGGUAGCAUAAUCAUUAGUCAUUUAAUUGAUGACUUGUAUGAAAGAUUGGAUGAAAUAUAAACUGUCUUUUAAGUAAAUUAUAGAAUUUAAUUUUUUAAUUAAAAAGUUAAAAUAUUUUAAAAAGACGAGAAGACCCUAUAGAGUUUUAUUUAAAAUAAAAUUAAGAUUUUUUAUAAAUUAAAUAAUUUAAAUUUUAUUUUAAAUUUUGUUGGGGUGAUAAAAAAAUUAAAUAAACUUUUUUUUAAUAUAUAUAUAUAUAUAUAUAUAUAUAUAUAUAAACAUAAAUAAAUGAAUUUAUGAUCCAAUUUUAUUGAUUAUAAGAAUAAAUUACCUUAGGGAUAACAGCGUAAUUUUUUUUUUUAGUUCAAAUAAGAAAAAGAGUUUGCGACCUCGAUGUUGGAUUAAGAUAAAAUUUAAAUGCAGAAGUUUAAAA
rnacentral:rRNA from 1 species